UGCGUAGGCAGCGAGCGUUGUUCGGAGUUACUGGGCGUAAAGCGUGCGUAGGCGGUCUUGUAAGUUUGGUGUGAAAUCUCCCGGCUCAACUGGGAGGGUGCGCCGAAAACUGCAAGGCUGGAGUAUGGGAGAGGUAGGCGGAAUUCCUGGUGUAGCGGUGAAAUGCGUAGAUAUCAGGAGGAACACCUGUGGUGUAGACGGCUUACUGGACCAUGACUGACGCUGAGGCACGAAAGCGUGGGGAGCAAACAGG
rnacentral:rRNA from 1 species